rnacentral:lncRNA from 13 species
UGCAAAUUUACAUUAUUGUAUGUUUCUGAAUCAAAAUAUAUAUUACUGAAAUAUUGUGAACUACGUUCAGGACAUAUUGAUUCUAAUGAAGAUUUUAAUUCAUUAAAUAAUGUUUUGAAAUGUAUCUUUGGAGCAUAUUUUGUAUUUUGUAGUUGCAUAUUGAAAAACAAUCUUUGCGUUGGAGUUAAACUGUUAAACUUUUUACAAAAUUGAGUAUUUGAUAACUUCUUUGCAUCUUUUAGACGUGUUUUAUAAUCUAUUAUUUGUCUUUUCAUUCGGUUUCUUUCCUUCGCUAAUGUUACGGCUUUCUUAUAUAUUUUUUGUGCUUUUGGUGUUAAAUGACGUUGUCUUGUAACAGAUCCAAGUAUAUUUCUUGAUAUUCGUGAUGGACUAUUAACCUUAUUUGUGAUAUUAUUUUGAUCGUUUUGUAUAUUUGUUUCUGCACAUAUAAAAUUAUUUGUAGAAGGUCCAGGUUCAUUACUGGUUUGAGAUUAUAAAUGUAAUUCAGUAUUUGUUUCAGAUUGUGAAUGCAACUGUAUGUCAGUUGUAUCAUUUAUUUCUAUAUUACUGGUUUGAGAUUGUAAAUGUAAUUCAGUAUUUGUUUCAGAUUGUGAAUGCAACUGUAUGUCAGUUAUAUCAUUUAUUUCUGUAUUUGCAUCAUUUAUUUCUGUACUGUCUGUAAAUGUCUGCGUAUUAUAUAUAUUUACACUAGGUACUGCAUUAUGUUUCAGUCUUCGACGAUUUUGAGUAUAAAUAUAAUCUUCAGCUUCUUUUCACUUUUCUGAUAAUGUUGGACUCUUUGGGAAAAAAUGACCAGGAAUCCUUGAAUUUGAUUUACAGCCUGGUACAACGCAGAUCCAUUCAACUUUUACCAUUAUUAAAAUUAAGAACUGCAAAGCAAAAG